AAACGCUGAUUUACAUGGUUCGGAGAACGUGUUUCCGUUGGAGGAAGUAACAACCGGAUCUCAACAAACAUUGUUGAAGCCAGAUACAAAUAUAACAAAUGAUUCUGAGGAUCCGGAGUUACAAGUUACAAGUCUCAGUUAAGAAUAAAAUAUUUUGGAGAUCUCUUGAACACCAACUGUUUCCCCAGCAAUCCUAUUAGAGAUGAAAACAGCCAGUAUAUCGUGUUUCAACCGGCAAACUCUAAUUGUCAUAUAGGAAGAAGAGAUUGGUGUCUUUGUGACAACUGUCCAAUAAUGAAAACAAACAUCGAAUCUAUAUGUUGCAGAGAGGUAGAAAAUGCACAAGAAUUUAUCGAGGAAUCGGGUUGCAUCACUACGCAUGAAUUCUUUUAAAUUUUCUGCCAAAGAGAAGAUACCGUUAGUGUGGUGUUUCGCACGGUUGGGCAACAACAAGCACCACCACCUGCUAAAGACAUGAACAGACAACGCAGAAAGACUGCAUAUCGGACUUUUACUGCAUGGGUGCAUGGAUAUCUUGGGAAGGGUAAUCGACGACCCAUCCCGGCAUGUGUGGUGCAUAAAGUACGGCAAGCCUUUCCCGACACGGAUGAAGAAUACACUGGUUUCAAGCAUGCGCCUGAUAUUCCAGCUGAAUUUAUGGCCUAUGAAUAAGCUCUUGUUAUUGAAAAAAUGAAUAAAUCAGUUGUUGUUGCCAGGGGUAGAAAUAACUACUAUUUUAUAUUAAUAAUAUAGGUAAUCUAUACUAAAAGUACAGGCAGCGGCUUUAAACAACGUUAGUAUUAAUAUUAUGCUAUUUAUGUUUUCAAU